CCACCUACAUCUUCAAUUCUUUAUCUUGUUCAAAACUUCCUUCUCUAUUUUCUUCUUCCCAUUUUGCACUAGCGCGCUGCUCCCCACUUUUCCAUUUUUCAGUUUCUCCAUUCUUAUCUAUUGUUCAGUUUAUGUUCUUUCAUGCGCCACCCACUACAACCCCCUCUUUCCUCUUCUUUCGCGUUCUUUCCUCGUGCAGUAUCAGACAGACAUUGUUGUGGAACUCUCCCCCUUCCCCCUCACUUCUCAUCCUUCUGUGCUGUGUGCAGUGGAACCCCCAUCCCCCUUUCCUUUGUCAUUCCAUCCCUCAGCUCAUUGCUCGGGCUUCUCCUCUACCCCCUUUCCUAAUCCAUUUCCAUUAUCGUCCGAGCGCAUCAAAACCGGCUUGAGGCGUCCAACUUUCAAAUCUAGAUUCAGAAUUGGGAGAAGUUAAUAUGAAGACGUCAGAGUCAUCGUCAAAUGCUACAAUUAUGUCGGCGGCCACUACCACCAGAAAGGAUAAAGUCGUCGUCAAUAUUGAUCAGGUUGAAGCGAUUUCUUCAAGUCCACCGAGAAAGUGAUUCGAGUGACUAUGGAGGAGGAAAAGAACAUUAAAGACCUUGGAGAUUUUGCAAAAGUUGUGGAUUUAAUAUUUGUGUAGAAGUUGUUGAUUUAUUUUCUAUAUUUAGACUUAUGUAUUAACUAUGAUUUUUUUUUUCUAUGUUUGGACUUAUGUACUUUGAAUUUGGGUUAGAACUUAGAAAUACUAUGUAUUUUCAAUUUGGAUCUAA